rnacentral:rRNA from 1 species
GUCAUAGUGAUCCGGUGGUUCUGAAUGGAAGGGCCAUCGCUCAACGGAUAAAAGGUACUCCGGGGAUAACAGGCUGAUACCGCCCAAGAGUUCAUAUCGACGGCGGUGUUUGGCACCUCGAUGUCGGCUCAUCACAUCCUGGGGCUGAAGUAGGUCCCAAGGGUAUGGCUGUUCGCCAUUUAAAGUGGUACGCGAGCUGGGUUUAGAACGUCGUGAGACAGUUCGGUCCCUAUCUGCCGUGGGCGCUGGAGAACUGAGGGGGGCUGCUCCUAGUACGAGAGGACCGGAGUGGACGCAUCACUGGUGUUCGGGUUGUCAUGCCAAUGGCACUGCCCGGUAGCUAAAUGCGGAAGAGAUAAGUGCUGAAAGCAUCUAAGCACGAAACUUGCCCCGAGAUGAGUUCUCCCUGACUCCUUGAGAGUCCUGAAGGAACGUUGAAG